rnacentral:rRNA from 1 species
AUGAACGCUGGCGGCGUGCCUAAUACAUGCAAGUCGAGCGAACGGACGAGAAGCUUGCUUCUCUGAUGUUAGCGGCGGACGGGUGAGUAACACGUGGAUAACCUACCUAUAAGACUGGGAUAACUUCGGGAAACCGGAGCUAAUACCGGAUGAUAUUUUGAACCGCAUGGUUCAAAAGUGAAAGACGGUCUUGCUGUCACUUAUAGAUGGAUCCGCGCUGCAUUAGCUAGUUGGUAAGGUAACGGCUUACCAAGGCAACGAUGCAUAGCCGACCUGAGAGGGUGAUCGGCCACACUGGAACUGAGACACGGUCCAGACUCCUACGGGAGGCAGCAGUAGGGAAUCUUCCGCAAUGGGCGAAAGCCUGACGGAGCAACGCCGCGUGAGUGAUGAAGGUCUUCGGAUCGUAAAACUCUGUUAUUAGGGAAGAACAUAUGUGUAAGUAACUGUGCACAUCUUGACGGUACCUAAGCAGAAAGCCACGGCUAACUACGU